rnacentral:rRNA from 1 species
GACGAACGCUGGCGGCGUGCCUAAUACAUGCAAGUAGAACGCUGAAGAGAGGAGCUUGCUCUUCUUGGAUGAGUUGCGAACGGGUGAGUAACGCGUAGGUAACCUGCCUUGUAGCGGGGGAUAACUAUUGGAAACGAUAGCUAAUACCGCAUAACACUGGAUGACACAUGUCAUUUAUUUGAAAGGGGCAAUUGCUCCACUACAAGAUGGACCUGCGUUGUAUUAGCUAGUAGGUGAGGUAACGGCUCACCUAGGCGACGAUACAUAGCCGACCUGAGAGGGUGGACGACCACACUGGGACUGAGGCACGGCCCAGACUCCUACGGGAGGCAGCAGUAGGGAAUCUUCGGCAAUGGGGGCAACCCUGACCGAGCAACGCCGCGUGAGUGAAGAAGGUUUUCGGAUCGUAAAGCUCUGUUGUAAGUCAAGAACGAGUGUGAGAGUGGAAAGUUCACACUGUGACGGUAGCUAACCAGAAAGGGACGGCUAACUACGUG